AUGUUUAGGGGGUGGAAUUUAUGAAAUGCAUUGUGCUGGGAGAAUUACAGCAUCCUGCCCCAUGUCAUCCUUAAUGUGUGCAAACAGAAUUCUGCUCCCCAAAACCUGCCACCCAUUAAUGCUCUGCUGCUGAGAAGGAUAAAAAAUUAAACAGGUCUCACAGGGCUGACUUCACGUGAGACCAGCCAGCCGUGGUCACCAAGGUGCCUACAUAAACUGAUACAAAAUCAUCUGAGCCCCACUUACUCCUCUGACAUUUUGACAGUGGGUUAUUGCAUUCCACUUCUGUUUCCCUGAUGUUCAUGCGCUUUCUACUCUGUGGAGACUCUGCAGGAGGAGGGAUGAAGCUUCUGGGUCUGCUGAACAUCUGCUCAGUGCCUGCAGGCAGAGUAUGUGGCAACCAAAGGCCUCUAAGAGGAGAUGCAGGGCAUAUUGUGUGGGGGAGCUGCACACCCGAGGCCAAGGACCGGGGAUAUCCCAGGCAACAGAACUGAUGCCUAACAUUUCACCUUGAGAAUGAACCCCAAAGGAGAACAAAAUAAAAUUUCUAUUAUCAGGAGACAUGCAUAUCUAGUUGCUUGUGAAAGGUAUGGAUAAACAUAAUCAUUAGUUACUUUGCACUCAUACUGAAACUCUACAG